ensembl:lncRNA
GUGCUGAUAAGUGACGUCUUUAGCCUUUAAACUGUGUCCAUAUAAAAGACCGCAAUAGAUUUUUGUCACAUCAGAUGUAAGGUUUGCAACAUGGUGCAAAGUGGACGAAAUAGACACUGAAAUAGUUUUAAACAUCAAGAGCAGUGAGGGUGGGGAAUUCAAAACGUUUCAUCUUUCUCUUCACCUGUAAGUAUAUCUUUAAGUCAAUAGAAAAAUUUCUGUAUUUGUAUAGUCUCUGCGUGUGUUUGAAAGAGAGAGCAAGAAAACGAGUUUACAUGUUGUGGUGGAAAUUCUUGGAUUAAGCCCUUGUGAGAAAUCAAUCAAGUAUUUUAAACUUGUUUGUGAUUAAGUAUUUAUUACUAACUAGAAUAUAGAAAAAUAUAUAAGAAUACAGAAAUUAUCAACACAAGCCGUAAGUACAAGCAGAAGUUUAAAUGACUAAAUUCAGCUGAAAAGGGACAGAUUCUUCCUUCUCCCGAUUCUUCCUUCUCCCUCAGAGAAGCAGGACGAUCCGGAGAGAAUUGUUGAAAUUUGAAAAACACUUUGUUAUAACAGGCAUAUAUUUAUAUUGCAAAGAUGUUUGGGGCUUGGCCCGGGAUGUCGAGCCGAGAUGAGGCAUAUCCCCCCCUUUGGGAGUCCAGACACUGAUGGUAGUGGUAGACGAUAAAUUGCUCCAAUGAUAUGCCAGGUUCUGCUGUAGAUUGGAGGUGUCAGGGGUGGUGGCGGGUCACCUUUGGUACUGAAAUGACAACUGACAGCAAAAGAGAGAACAGUUUUUAACAUUCGCCUGCACCGACGCCAUUGAUUUACGGUGGCUGGUACUACCCGACCCUGCCCCUAAUCAGCUGGCCGUGCUCCCCAGGGGAGAGAGGGCCAACAGGGAACGGCACAGCCUGUCCAGUCUUAAUUUGACUCAAAUCUGAAUUUACGCCUAAGCUUGUCCUUGAAUACGGCCCAUCCAUUUUAUUCUUUUCUUUUAUUUCUUUUAUGUCUAUUAUUUUUUUGUAUUAAACGUGUGUUGCAUUCCAUACCUUGUCUCAAACUUUCUGUAGUUCAAGAAAGGUUUGUUUUGAGGUUAACAAAUACUGUUUUUGUCAACAAAAUGUUUUCCUUUGAGAAAAAGAGGCAAAGAGAAGGCAAAGCUCUCGAUCUACCGGUCAAUCUUCAUUCCUACCCUCACCUAUGGUCAUGAAGGAUGGGUCAUGACCGAAAGAACUAGGUCACGGGUGCAAGCGGCCGAAAUGGGUUUCCUCAGGAGAGUGGCUGGGGUCUCCCUUAGGGAUAGGGUGAGAAGCUCAGCCAUUCGAGAGGAGCUCGGAGUAGAGCCACUGCUCCUUUGCGUCGAAAGGAGCCAGUUGAGGUGGUUUGGGCAUCUGGUGAGGAUGCCCCCUGGGCGCCUCCCUAGGGAGGUGUUCCAGGCACAGCCAGCUGGGAAGAGGCCCCGGGGAAGACCCAGGACUAGGUGGAGAGAUUAUAUCUCCUGGGAACGCUUUGGGAUCCCCCAGUCAGAGCUGGUAGAUGUGGCCCGGGAAAGGGAAGUUUGGGGUCCCCUGCUGGAGCUGUUGCCCCCGCGACCCGACCCCGGAUAAGCGGUUGAAAAUGGAUGGAUGUUUUCCUUUGAAUGUUGUACCUGAAAGUUAAACAUACUGCUAUAAUGAAUAUUGACAUUUUCAUUUUCUUAAUACUGUAGGAAAAUUGAAUAAGAAAUAGUUCUACUAAAUUGACUGGUUCACAAGCUGUCAUGAUGGGAGUUAUGUGACUGUACCCCUACUUUGAUCGAUUUAUAGGGAUUCAAAAGAAAAAGGAUGGCUGUGGCACAGAUAAUAUCAAUCUUCCUGAUUAUAAUGGGUAAGCUAAGCAUCACCUAUAAAUCACAAUGACUGAGUAAAAUGUAAGCUUUGUGUUGCUAAUAAUUGUUUAUUUAAUACAUUAAUUUAAUAAUUAUGUUAAAAGCAACUGAUGCACCUACAACUAAAGCAGCUGCAAACUUCCUCAACCAGUGACUGCUGCAACCUACAACUACAGAAGCUUCAACUGCCACAACAGCGAAUGAUGCAAGUACAACAGUGGAAACUGCAACUUCCGCAACAGUGACUGAUCCACCUACAACUACUUUAGCUUCAACUGACGCAACAGUGACUGCUGCACCUACAACUACAGCAGCUUCAACCGACGCAACAGUGACUGCUGCAAGUACAACAGCGGAUCGGGCAAGUUCCGCAACAGUGGCUGAUGCACCUUCAACUGCAGCAGCUUCAACUGCCACAACAGCGACUGAUGCAACUACUACUACAGCAGCAACGACUGCUGUUCCGACAACAGUAGCAUCUUCAACUGAGGCAACAGCGACUGCUGCAAGUACAACAGUGGAUCCUGCAACAGUGACUGAUGCACCUACAACCACAAGAGCGUCAACUGACACAACAACGACUGCUGCAAGUACAACAGCGGAUCCGGCAACUUCUGCAACAGUGACUGAUGAACCUACAACUGCAGCAGCUUCAACUGCCACACCAGCGACUGAUGCCCCUACAACUACAGCAGCAACGACUGCUGUCCCGACAACAGCAGCAUCUUCAACUGACGCCACAGCAACUGCUGCAAGUACAACAGCGGAUCCUGCAACUUCCGCAACAGUGGCUGAUGCACCUACAACUGCAGCAGCUUCAACUGCCACAACAGCGACUGAUGCAACUACUGCUACAGCAGCAACGACUGCUGUUCCGACAACAGUAGCAUCUUCAACUGAGGCAACAGCGACUGCUGCAAGUACAACAGUGGAUCCUGCAACAGUGACUGAUGCACCUACAACCACAAGAGCGUCAACUGACACAACAACGACUGCUGCAAGUACAACAGCGGAUCCGGCAACUUCUGCAACAGUGACUGAUGCACCUACAACUGCAGCAGCUUCAACUGCCACACCAGCGACUGAUGCAACUACUGCUACAGCAGCAACGACUGCUGUUCCGACAACAGUAGCAUCUUCAACUGAGGCAACAGCGACUGCUGCAAGUACAACAGCGGAUCCUGCAACGUCUGCAACAGUGACAGAUGACCUUACAACUGCAUUAGCAACGACUGCUGCAACUACAACUGCAGCAGCUUCAACUGCCACAACAGCGAAUGAUGCAAGUACAACAGCGGAUCUUGCAACUUCCGCAACAG